rnacentral:rRNA from 1 species
UACGUAGGGGGCUAGCGUUGUCCGGAAUCAUUGGGCGUAAAGAGCGUGUAGGCGGCCCGGUAAGUCCGCUGUGAAAGUCGGGGGCUCAACCCUCGAAUGCCGGUGGAUACUGUCGGGCUAGAGUGCGGAAGAGGCGAGUGGAAUUCCUGGUGUAGCGGUGAAAUGCGCAGGUAUCAGGAGGAACACCGAUUGCGAAGGCAGCUCGCUGGGACGUUACUGACGCUGAGACGCGAAAGCGUGGGGAGCAAACAGG